rnacentral:rRNA from 1 species
AUUGAACGCUGGCGGCAGGCCUAACACAUGCAAGUCGAGCGAGUGGCGGACGGGUGAGUAAUGUAUGGGAAACUGCCUGAUGGAUGGGGAUAACUACUGGAAACGGUAGCUAAUACCGCAUACUAUCAGAUGAACCCAGGUCGGCUUAGCUAGUAGGUGGGGUAAAGGCAUACCAAGGAGACGAUCCGUAAAUGGUCUGAGAGGAUGAUCAGUCAAACUGGAACUUAGACACGGUCCAGACUCUGACGGGAGGACGCAGUGGGGAAUAUUGCACAAUGGGCGCAAGCCUGAUGCAGCCAUGCCGCGUGUAUGAAGAAGGCCUUAGGGUUGUAAAGUACUUUCAGCGGGGAGGCGUUACCCGCAGAAGAAGCACCGGCUAACUCCGUGCCAGCAGCCGCGGUAAUUC